rnacentral:rRNA from 1 species
UGGGGAAUUUUGGACAAUGGGGGAAACCCUGAUCCAGCCAUCCCGCGUGUGCGAUGAAGGCCUUCGGGUUGUAAAGCACUUUUGGCAGGAAAGAAACGUCAUGGGUUAAUACCCCGUGAAACUGACGGUACCUGCAGAAUAAGCACCGGCUAACUACGUGCCAGCAGCCGCGGUAAUACGUAGGGUGCAAGCGUUAAUCGGAAUUACUGGGCGUAAAGCGUGCGCAGGCGGUUCGGAAAGAAAGAUGUGAAAUCCCAGGGCUCAACUUUGGAACUGCAUUUUUAACUACCGGGCUAGAGUGUGUCAGAGGGAGGUGGAAUUCCGCGUGUAGCAGUGAAAUGCGUAGAUAUGCGGAAGAACACCGAUGGCGAAGGCAGCCUCCUGGGAUAACACUGACGCUCAUGCACGAAAGCGUGGGGAGCAAACAGG